GCGCCCCGAAAGGGUUUCCUUUCCCAGGACUGGGUUCUCGUCGGCGAACUCCCGCCUCUGCUCUCGCUUCGCCUGGGGGCUUCACGUGCGUGGAGGCGGCCACGGGGGCAGGCCCGGGCGGGGUUGCGUGUUGGUGGCUUGUGACAGGCCGGGACACAGUUUCACUGCGAGAUGUCAUACUGGCUUGCAAGAGACCAGGACCACUGCAGAGGUCUCUGGUAAUGUCCCCUUACCCUUUCCCUAUAACAGAGGAGAUCUUAAUUGCUGAGAAGGAACAGGAGAAUAGAAAAGAUGGCCUGAAGGAAUCACCAGAAGCAGGAGGACUCCACCCUUUGCAGCCUCAAAAUUGCAAAAGUGAAAGACUGCUUUGAGAAGAGAGCCUCAGAGUACCACGUUCCAGAAUGGCAAUGGGCUAGGGAGGUUGUUCAUAGGCACUGGACUCCUAAAGCCAAGAGAGGAUGAAGCCUGGCUACGAUUUCAGCUGGCAGCAGACCUUGGCAUCAUCCACAUGGUGUUUGUUUUAGGGGAGGCAGAAUGUAAGAGUUGUGGGGUCAGGAAGUCUUCCACCCAGAUUUCAGAAGAAGGCCUGGGAGGCCAGGCAGGGUGUCCCUGAGAGGGCAGUGUGUGAAGCUGUGAGUGUGAAGCCAAAGGUACAGUGGAGACUCCAGAAGUUCGGAGAAGCCAAGAAUGUGGACCGUCUGAGGAAAACUGUAAGGAAGGAGCAGAGCCAGCCCAAGAGAAAGUCAUGGGAGCUACCACCACCUGAAGUGCCAUAGGGGUGAAGCCACCCAAGCCCUUUGGAGUUCACAACUUGCCACAGGUUACUGGGGAUGCUGAAAGUGGUACUGUAGGAUUUAAUGUUAGCCCUGCUGGAUUUUGGUCUUACUUUGUUCCCAUUCCUUGCGAUCUCCCUGUUUGUAACUUUUGGAAUGAAAAUGUCUAUCUUGUGCCAUUGAAUGUUGGAAGUGUUUAACUUUCUUUCCAUUUAUACAGGGGUUUGCAGCUAAGAGUUUCCCUUAAAUCUCAGAGGAGAAUUUGGACUUGGACUUUUCAGCAGUGCUGAAACUGUUAGGACUUUGGCAACUCUUGGAGCUGGACUAAAUGCCUUUUGCAUAAAGGGAUGUGCAUAAGUCUUUGGGGGACCAGGGUGGAAUCUUAUGGCUUGUGUCUAGAUGUCCCCCAAAACCUCAUGCAGUCAUAGGUGGGACUUUUUCAGAGGUGGCUGGAUCUAGAAUAUGAGACUCUGGAAUUGAGUCAUGGUGCAAUGCUCGGCUCAAGGGCACUAGGAUUAAGGGUGUGAGUACUACCCACCAUAAGUAGCCUGAUAAAAAAAAGGGGCAGAAAGACACUGUUAAGGUCCCUUGUUGCUUUUCCUGCCUUCUGCAUACAAUGAACUGUUUCUUCUCUGUGAUGCCCUUAUGCCAUGUGCCAUUCUGCCUUGGAGCCAGCCAACUAUGGACAGAAACUUCUACAAACUGUGAGGUAAAUAAACCUUUCUCCCUUUAACUUUGGAUGUUGGGUAUUGUUUCAGCAACAAUAGAGAAGUGACUAAGACAACUUUGAACAAUACUCUGCUAUGAACACACUGCCAUCAACAAUCUCAGUUUGACUGGGACUGUGAGUUAUACAGGAAUAAGGGACUUUCUGCCAUCAAAGGAUGAAUUGGCUACCCUAGUCAUAGAAUUGGUUAUGUGUCUUUGUUUCAAGGAAUUAAACACCCAAACAAAAGCUAUCUCAGUUAGAAGAAGAUAUAAUGACUCAUUUGGCUGGGAAGUCUAAGCAUGUGGAGAUUCCAGGCCAAGCUGGAGCAGACAUCAAAUAAUGUAAUUACAGUUCCCUCUUAUUCCCUACUGCAGUGCCAGUUCCCUCUGUGUGUUAGCUCCUUUGUGGAUUGUGCAGGAAAAUGUGGACUUUCUUUCAUGGAGAACAGGUGUUCUAAUUGCCUAGGACAAGGAUUAAAACAGAAAUGCCUACAAGGUGAGACACACAAUAUCAAUGAAUGGAGCAGGCUGGCUGGAAGACAACAGGAAGUGAUGUGAACGUUGAGGGGGAGCCCUGAUCGUCGGUGCUGUCCAGGAAUGAAAGGUUACUAUUGCCAGACACUCCAAUUUCCUUUUUUUUUUUUUUCAGGUUCUGGGGAUUGAACUCAGGACCUUUCACUGAGCUAAAUCCCCAGCCCUCCAAUUUGCUUUUAAAGAAGCCAGAAAUGGGGUACUCUGAUUUUCAAAUGUUAACAACUAAUUAAAUUAAGUAACAACGACACUAUCCUGAGAAAAGUCACUCAGGAGGCACACAUGAGUUUGUAACCUCUGCCUUUGGCAGUCUAAGGCCAUUUCCCAAAUGCUCAGGUUGUGCUUGGACACAUACCUGCAGAAAGUGCUCUAUGUAAGUGUUCUUAGGAUACAUCCACUCUUUCUGAAAAUAGAUCUCAUUUAAGUUAAUAAUCACCGACUCUGUCAUGUGCUUGCUGUAUGCCAGAUAUUGCACUAAGCAAUUUGUACAUUUAUUUUAUUCUAUAAUAACCCUGGGGCAUAGUUACUAUUAUUAGCGACAUAACCUCUCUACAGAUGAAGAAACAGAACAGAGAAGUUAAUUAUGUAUCUUCCUUGAUAUCAUGCAGCUGGAGAGGUCAAAGUUGGAUUUAUUCUCUAGAGUCUGACUAUAGUACUCAGAUUCUCCUUCUCUUUGAUGAAUUACUUCAGGGGCCACAAACUCAGACUUAUCUUAGAAUCAGAGAAGGGUAGAGACCAGAAGGAACCUCAAAGAUCAUCUAGUAUGUUAACCUGUUUACUUUAAAAUGGUAAAAUUGAGACCAAAAGCAAGGAGUGACUUUAACAACUUCUCAAGGCCUAUCAGUGGCUGCACUGGAAUAAAUUCAAGCCCUUAUGCUGUUCCAUGUAGUUUCUGGAACUUGCCACCUACAAGUACUCUAAGUCCCUGGUGAGUUUUACAAAGCAUCCUGAAGCCUCGACCGUUAUUCCUGUGGGGUUGUUUCUGAGUUGACAUGUUCUUCAUCUCUUGUAUACCAGCUCUUCAGAGGGGGCAAUAUUUUCUUGUCUUUUUAACCAGGAAAGAAGAUUACAGCAAUUAUUUUUCUUUAAAUUGGUCAUUUAAUCUAUUUCAUCCACAGUCAUCCCUGUGAUUUGAGGGAGAAGCCAAGAGAAUGGGGAAAAUAUUUCACAACUGUGAUAAAUAUCUAUCUUCUAAGGCCUUUCCAUCAAUUUCUAGGAAGUAGGUCACCAAGAAGCAUUGAAAGUGCCAUUUUUGUCUACAUAGAAAAAUGGUCAUAAUGAGCAGUUUAAAAAAUACUGAAUUCAAGUGUGUGAUUUCUCAAAGACAUACACAUGUGAAUUUAACAAAUACAUAUGGACAGUCUUUCAUGUGCAAAAUAUUUUGCUGAAUCCUAUGAAAAUAUAAUAAUUAGGGGGUUAAGGGAGGGCUGGGAAUGGGGAAAAAAUAAGAACCAAGAUGCAUCAUGUAAAGUUACAAGUUCCCAAUGAGAAAUGUAAAUGUGUUGUAUACCUAAAAUGUACCAAUAAAAGAAUUUAAGUAACUAAAAAAAAGAAAAUAUAACAAUUAAUAAGAUCUGAUCCCUGUCUUCAUGGUGCUUAUUAAUAGUAGAGAAUACAAACAUAUAGAAUAAAAUAAAAUAAAAAUUUUGAAGAUCUAUUAAAAAAUAAUAAUCAAAUCCAACUCAGGAUCAGGAAAGACUUCCUGAAGUUGAGCCCAACCUUGAAUAUUGGCCAUGUUUUAGUAGAUAUACUUGGCAAUGAAAGCUCCACAGCAAAAGGAAGCACACAAGCAAUGACAGAAAGGGGAGAAAGAACAGGGUGUGUUUAGAGAGCAUGUAGUAACAGAUUUGGUCUAUUGUGGAAGGUUCUGAUUGCCAGGCUGAGAAAUCUGCCCUACUCAGUGAGCAAGAGAGGUCUAUUACAGUCUUUCAGAUUGGUGAAUCACAUGAUCAGAGAUGCUUUUAGGAAAGCAAACCUUGUAGAACUGAAGUGGGAGGAGACUGCAGGUGAACAGAACACUAAAGAUGUUGUGAGAAGAUGCUCUUGACAAGCACCAAUGCUGGUUAGGACCAGAGUUCUGGGGGUGGGAGUAGGAAGGACACCGAAGGGCAUGGUAGAAGCAGUCUUUGGGAUAUGAGGUAGGGAUAAAAGAUAAUUAAAAUGAUUUCUUAGUUUGGAGCUUUAAUAACUGGAAGGAUGAUGUCACAAUUACAGAAAUAGGGAAGAAAGGGAGAAGAACUGGCUUGAGGUAGUAGAUGGUGGAGUUUCAAGUUGCCAAGAAUGAGGUGCCAAGUGAUUAUCAAAGGAGAUAUGUACAUUGAGUCUCAGGUUCUGGUAUGAGUUUAGCUUGCAGAUUUAGGUUUGGAGAGUAUUUGCAGAGAAAUAGGGACAGAGGGUAAAUGUUUACUAUAGUCCUGUUAUUUCCUACUCCCUGGAUACAUUUCUCUAUAUAUUGUGACAUCCAGCCAUAUAAGAUCACCAUGAAAUGGAGACCCAGAGAAGUUGAUUGUUUGCAGAUGUUCCCAAAGUUUAUCUCAUCACCUGUUAUUACAAGAGAUGAAGAACAUGUCAACUCAGAAACAGCCUGGCAGGAAUAAUGGUCGAGGCUUCAGAAUGCUUUGUAAAACUCACCAGGGACUUAGAGUACUUGUAGGUGGCAAGUUCCAGAAACUACAUGGAACAGCAUAAGGGCUUGAAUUUAUUCCAGUGCAGCCACUGAUAGGCCUUGAGAAGUUGUUAAAGUCACUCCUUGCUUUUGGUCUCAAUUUUCCCAUUUUAAAAUAAACAGGUUAACAUAUUAGAUGAUCUUUGAGGUUCCUUCUGUCUCUAUAAAUAAGUAGAAUAAAGAUAUACUAUGUAUAAGAACCUAAUAACCUCAAUGAAUGUAAACAUUAUAGGCCAUAAACAUGAGCUAAGAUCAAAAAUAUCAACCAGAAUAAAAAUGGAAAAGGGGAAAUUAGAGGAGGAGAUAUUGAGAGGGAGGGAAGGAGAGGGGGCUUAAAAAACAAAAAUAGUUGUUUUGUGUACAUGUACAUACUCCCCAAAAUAAUUGUAAGCUACAUGCAAACUACAAACAUGUACUAAUAAAACAUUUAAAAAACCAAAAACAACUGAGUCAACUAACCAUCCAUUAAAUCUUAUAAAAAUUGUUAGCCAAAAUAAACCUUUUUCUCUUUUCAA